rnacentral:rRNA from 1 species
AAAUUGAAGAGUUUGAUCAUGGCUCAGAUUGAACGCUGGCGGCAGGCCUAACACAUGCAAGUCGAGCGGUAGCACAGAGAGCUUGCUCUCGGGUGACGAGCGGCGGACGGGUGAGUAAUGUCUGGGAAGCUGCCUGAUGGAGGGGGAUAACUACUGGAAACGGUAGCUAAUACCGCAUAACGUCGCAAGACCAAAGUGGGGGACCUUCGGGCCUCAUGCCAUCAGAUGUGCCCAGAUGGGAUUAGCUAGUAGGUGGGGUAACGGCUCACCUAGGCGACGAUCCCUAGCUGGUCUGAGAGGAUGACCAGCCACACUGGAACUGAGACACGGUCCAGACUCCUACGGGAGGCAGCAGUGGGGAAUAUUGCACAAUGGGCGCAAGCCUGAUGCAGCCAUGCCGCGUGUGUGAAGAAGGCCUUCGGGUUGUAAAGCACUUUCAGCGGGGAGGAAGGCGAUAAGGUUAAUAACCUCAUCGAUUGACGUUACCCGCAGAAGAAGCACCGGCUAACUCCGUGCCAGCAGCCGCGGUAAUACGGAGGGUGCAAGCGUUAAUCGGAAUUACUGGGCGUAAAGCGCACGCAGGCGGUCUGUCAAGUCGGAUGUGAAAUCCCCGGGCUCAACCUGGGAACUGCAUUCGAAACUGGCAGGCUAGAGUCUUGUAGAGGGGGGUAGAAUUCCAGGUGUAGCGGUGAAAUGCGUAGAGAUCUGGAGGAAUACCGGUGGCGAAGGCGGCCCCCUGGACAAAGACUGACGCUCAGGUGCGAAAGCGUGGGGAGCAAACAGGAUUAGAUACCCUGGUAGUCCACGCCGUAAACGAUGUCGAUUUGGAGGUUGUGCCCUUGAGGCGUGGCUUCCGGAGCUAACGCGUUAAAUCGACCGCCUGGGGAGUACGGCCGCAAGGUUAAAACUCAAAUGAAUUGACGGGGGCCCGCACAAGCGGUGGAGCAUGUGGUUUAAUUCGAUGCAACGCGAAGAACCUUACCUGGUCUUGACAUCCACAGAACUUUCCAGAGAUGGAUUGGUGCCUUCGGGAACUGUGAGACAGGUGCUGCAUGGCUGUCGUCAGCUCGUGUUGUGAAAUGUUGGGUUAAGUCCCGCAACGAGCGCAACCCUUAUCCUUUGUUGCCAGCGGUCCGGCCGGGAACUCAAAGGAGACUGCCAGUGAUAAACUGGAGGAAGGUGGGGAUGACGUCAAGUCAUCAUGGCCCUUACGACCAGGGCUACACACGUGCUACAAUGGCAUAUACAAAGAGAAGCGACCUCGCGAGAGCAAGCGGACCUCAUAAAGUAUGUCGUAGUCCGGAUUGGAGUCUGCAACUCGACUCCAUGAAGUCGGAAUCGCUAGUAAUCGUAGAUCAGAAUGCUACGGUGAAUACGUUCCCGGGCCUUGUACACACCGCCCGUCACACCAUGGGAGUGGGUUGCAAAAGAAGUAGGUAGCUUAACCUUCGGGAGGGCGCUUACCACUUUGUGAUUCAUGACUGGGGUGAAGUCGUAACAAGGUAACCGUAGGGGAACCUGCGGUUGGAUCACCUCCUUA